rnacentral:rRNA from 1 species
UACAGAGGGUGCAAGCGUUAAUCGGAAUUACUGGGCGUAAAGCGCGCGUAGGUGGUUCGUUAAGUUGGAUGUGAAAGCCCCGGGCUCAACCUGGGAACUGCAUUCAAAACUGGCGAGCUAGAGUAUGGUAGAGGGUGGUGGAAUUUCCUGUGUAGCGGUGAAAUGCGUAGAUAUAGGAAGGAACACCAGCGGCGAAGGCGGCGCUCUGGGCCGGUACUGACACUGAGGAGCGAAAGCGUGGGUAGCAAACAGG